rnacentral:piRNA from 1 species
GAAUAGUGAAUUCAUGGAGAAGACUGAGG